rnacentral:lncRNA from 1 species
UAAAAUGCCGCUAAGUCGAAAACCCUAAAUGGAGACUUAGGUAAAAACUAGGGCAUCCCAGUGGAUUGAAAACUUGAAAGGGAAAUCUAGGAAACAAUUAUGGACUUAUAUGACAAAUAAUAGGGAGUGUGUUAGCACCCAAAGUGUCCUAGGUACUCAUAGGGAGCCAUUUUUUAUGUGCGUAUGUGUUUUUGGUAUAAAUGAUGUUUGGUAAAAAUAGAGUGUGGGGAUG